rnacentral:rRNA from 1 species
CAACGAUUACGACAAGUUUGUCCACGCACGUACCUGUAGAAGUACUAAUGACUAAUAUUCUAGAAGUACUAAUGACUAAUAUUCACUUGUGUGCAUAGAAGAGAGCUCCAAGACUCACAACUCUCACCAACGAGUAACAAAGACAUAAGUUUAUGACUACUUAGUUGUGAAGGUUUUCUAUAUGACUACCGGUUUCUUCUAACCCCUUCAAGGUGAUACAAGGAUGUCUGACAACCGGUUUUUUCUAACCCCCUUUUAUCGAGACCUCUUCCUAACUCUACUUUUACCCUAACCCUAGAGUGAAGCGUUACGUAACUUCUUAGUACCA